UGAAAUUCCUUCUCCUGGUUCAUCCUGGCUCAAAAGCUCCCCUACUGAGCGCCUUUUGACCCCCACACCUGCUCCCCCUUUGACUGUAAUUUUCCUUUACCUACCCAAAUCUUAUAAGACGGCCCUAUCCCUGUCUCCCUUGGCUGACUCUCUUUUCGGACUCAGCCCGCCUGCACCCAGGUGAAAUAAACAGCCUUGUUGCUCACACAAAGCCUGUUUGGUGGUCUCUUCACACAAACGCGCAUGAAAUUUGGUGCCAUGACUCGGAUCGGGGUACCUCCCUUGGGAGAUCAAUCCCCAGUCCUCCUGCUCUUUGCUCCGUGAGAAAGAUCUACCUAGGACCUCAGGUCCUCAGACUGACCAGCCCAAGGAACAUCUCACCAAUUUCAAAUCUGGUAAGUGGCCUCUUUUUACUCUCUUCUCCAACCUCCCUCACUAUCCCUCAACCUCUUUCUCCUUUCUAUCUUGGCGCCACACUUCAAUCUCUCCCUUCUCUUAAUUUCAAUUCCUUUCAUUUUCUGGUAGAGACAAAGGAGACACAUUUUAUCCGUGGACCCAAAACUCCGGCGCCAGUCACGGACUCGGGGAGGCAGCCUUCCCUUGGUGUUUAAUAAUUGCGGGGGUGCCUCUCUGAUUAUUCACCCACGACCCCACUGAAAAUCGGACUGUUCAACUCAUCUGGCAGCCACUCCCAGAGCCCCUGGAACUCUGGCCCAAGCCUCUCUGACUGACUCCUUCCCAGAUCUUCUCGGCUUAGCAGCUGAAGACUGACACUGCCCAAUCGCCUUGGAAGCCCCCUAGACCAUCACGGAUGCCGAGCUUCGAGUAACUCUCACAGUGGAGGGAACGCGCAUGAAAAAACCAAACAAACAAAAAAAUUUCUUUUGGUAGCAGAAUAAAAAAACAAAAAAAAGGACUUUUUCUUCUGGACUGAACUAUAUUUAAAUCUCAAAGGAUGGACAUCUCACAACCUUCCUACAGCAAGUACUGUGAGAAAAGAUACUAGCGCCAGUCUGGCAGGGGCCUUUUCUAGUCUCAAGCACGCUGAGCAGUCCUACACCUUGCCUUCUGAGAGAGAAGAGGACAGUCCUCAGCCUCCUGAAGCCUGGCAAGGGUGCCUUAGUGAGGACAUCACCUGCAACUCCCAGAUGGAUAGACGAGGCCAUGGAGAGAGGAGAACACCAACCCAUGAGUGACAAGUGCCUGUCAUUGUCAAUGAUGCUGCAAGCACCACGAUGCCCCUUCUUAGCAGGGACCCAGUGGGCCUUACCAGCUUCAUUAUUUUCUAGGCAUGAUCGCAUCCUGUCUCCCAUUUUUGCUAAAAUUCUAUCUAGAGAAAGAGCUCAUUUUUAGCUAAAAAAAAAAAAAUCCUGUUUUAUCUGCUAAAAAAUCACAUAAAAUAACUAUUGGACUGUUUGAAAUGGCGUGGCCUCUGCUCUGACUUAUUAACUGUGAUCUUGACUAAGUUAAGCAGUCACUCUGACCUUACGUUACUCCCUCAAAUUUGAAUAAAAAUAGCAACUUCCUCUACUUAUAAAUUACUUCUAAAAAUUAGAUUCUUGAGAUUCAAAGAUAGGUAAUACCUGCCUUCAAGAAACUAACUCUCAAGGCUGCUGUAUGGAAAUCCUGCCUCCUAACUAGAUUGCACUCUUCUAAAUGCUGUACUACUGCUAUACACAUUCUCCAAAUCAAGUUAAUUUCAAAGUCUUGCUGAAUCUACUUUUUAGAAAUAUCUAAGUCAUGUGUACGUCUUUCCAUUCCUGCAUCCCAGGGGAUUGCAGCCAUCAGCUCACCUCCUCUCCUAAUCCAAAAUGUUCCUAACUGGUCUCCUGCCUUGCCUUUCUCCUGAUCACUUCCUACAACAGAGUGAUCGUGACUUGAAAUGCAAAUUAUAUUGUAUGAGUUAUCUCCCAAAAACAUUCAGCUGCCUAGCUCCCUUAACAUGAAGUCCAAAUUGCCCUAACAUGGAGUCCAAAUUUCGUUAGCAUGGUUUAAGAGUCUCUUCAUGAACAAAAGGCUUCUGUCUUCUCCAGUCAUACCCAAAUCUUUCCUAAUCAAAAGCCAUUUUUAUCAGUUUAAGAACAGAGACAGUUGUUCCAGAUAUAAGGAAGAGCAUUGGCAAAGUUGCAGAUAAUAAUUUAGGUGAGUGUGAUUCAGAGAUCUCAUUAGUGAUGCCUCAGAAUGACUAGGAGACAUGGAUAAAAGGAUAACAAGAAAGAAAAGGAGACCACAAAACCACAGUCCAGAUUGUAGGAGGCUUGGGUUGUGGUAAUGAGCUGGGACUUCUCUGCUGGCUAUCAGGAGUCCUCAUCUAUGAUCUGCUAGAAGAAUAUCAUGAUUAGAACUGCAUUUUAGAAAGUUAAGUCUAGUGGCUGCAGAGCAUACAUAUAGAAGGUAGAGCUUUGAGUCCACAAGAACAUUAUGGUUUAAUAAAACUCUGUGAGAGAGAUUAGAGCACAAACAAAGGCAGUCAUAAUGGAAAUGGAAAGAAAGUUAAAGGCUAAAGACUCCAGAGACAUUUUGAAAAAUGUGGGAAAUUAGGAGAGGAGCUGCAUCAAUCAGGACAUCAGUGUUACUGAUUUGCGAGACUAGGGAAUUAGGAUGUUCUUGAUGAAAGUGAGCAAAGGAAUUUUGCAGAGAUCAGAGUAGAACUUUUUUUUUUCCCUGAAAGCAUUCUGAAAACUGUAAACACCCUACUGCAUAAGAUAUCAUCAUCAUUAUUACUAAGCAGUCCUAUGUUAAUAGCCCUUUGGGUCUAGAGCUUGAAUUAUGCGCUAUACCUUGUACUUGAAAGAAACUAUAUCCUGACUAGUCCAGAUGGAUAUUACUUAACCUGCUUUAAGAUCCUCUAGGGAGGAACAACCACAACAAAUCCAAGAAAGGUCCCCUUCCUAGCAACUGUGCAUCCUUCCAGCUGCCUUAUCAAUGAUAUCAUCCCUUCGAUAUGUUACAGAGUCCAUUUGGACAAUUUUUAAAGGGACUCAUGACAUUCUGGUAAAAGAGAAUUAUGAUUUCUGGACUCUUUAAAAUUCAAAUGUAGGGGGAAAAAAAGCAAGUCUUCUGUUUGAUCAUAAAAGCUAUAAAGAUGCAAAGAGAGAAAGGUCCAUUCUAGCAUUUCAAUAAUAUCUGUUUUCACUGAAAACCUGAGCUGACUUUAAUCAUCUACACUUCAGACUGGGCUAAUACCUCAGAAAGCUGCAAAUACUGUGAACGCUGUCACACUAGCACAAAGCCUUUGCAAAAAUUUCCCCAAAAUACACAGAUUAAAAAGCACAUUUUCUCUCUCUCUGUUUUCCUCUCUCUCUCUCUCUCUCUCACACGCACACACACAUACACAUGCA
rnacentral:lncRNA from 10 species